rnacentral:rRNA from 1 species
CCCUUAGAUGUUCUGGGCCGCACGCGCGCUACACUGAUGCAUUCAACGAGUCUAAAACCUGCUCUGAUAGGGGUGGGUAAUCUUUUGAAUGUGCAUCGUGAUUGGGAUAGAUGAUUGCAAUUUUUCAUCUUCAACGAGGAAUGCCUAGUAAACGCAAGUCAUCAGCUUGCAUUGAUUACGUCCCUGCCCUUUGUACACACCGCCCGUCGCUCCUACCGAUUGAAUGACCCGAUGAAUAUCAUGGAUUGAGGAUGCAAGUAGGUUAGCCUAUCUUCAUCUUCGAGAAGUGAAGUAAAUCUUAUCAUUUAGAGGAAGGAGAAGUCGUAACA